rnacentral:rRNA from 1 species
GACGAACGCUGGCGGCGUGCCUAACACAUGCAAGUCGAACGGGGUAGAGAGCUUCGGCUUUCUACUUAGUGGCGAACGGGUGAGUAACGCGUGAGAAACCUGCCUUUCAGUGGGGGACAACAGUUGGAAACGACUGCUAAUACCGCAUAAUGUUAUUUGAGGGCAUCCUCGAAUAACCAAAGCUUUAUGUGCUGAAGAAUGGUCUCGCGUCUGAUUAGCUAGUUGACGGGGUAACGGCCCACCAAGGCGACGAUAAGUAGCCGGUCUGAGAGGAUGAACGGCCACAUUGGGACUGAGAUACGGCCCAGACUCCUACGGGAGGCAGCAGUGGGGAAUAUUGGGCAAUGGGGGAAACCCUGACCCAGCAACGCCGCGUGAAGGAAGAAGGCCUUCGGGUUGUAAACUUCUUUUAGCAGGGACGAAGAACGUGACGGUACCUGCAGAAAAAGCAACGGCUAACUACGUGCCAGCAGCCGCGGUAACAC